UCGGUGAUCUUCAUGUCGGAGCGCUAUAAAGAAACCAGGGUUCCUGAGUUGGAAUUCCGAGUUGGAUAACAGUUCCAAAAGAUUUUCCCCAGUCAGAGCUGUGCCCCCCGGAAAAACUCCCAUGAAGCAAAGACAGCCGCAUGCCUGUCUGAAUACAAAAGGGGAGGGUCCAGAGUUUCGAUGCUGUCACUCUGAAAUUGUUCAUUUGUCGCGAGCUAGCUUAUAACAUCUGUAGCCAUAUUCAGCACCUAAACCAGAUAUACUUUGGGUACAUUUAUUAACAGGGUAUUUUUUUUUCGUAAACUGGCUGACCGACGUUACCUUUCCCAAAAAAAUGAACGCGAAUCGAGUAGAGUAAUUUAUGCAGCUGAAGACAAACGCUCCAGAGAAACUGCGAUGUAACACCGAAAAGCACGAAAGGCACUAACUCCGCCAUUCGUUGGACAAAGCCUAUGGGGGAAAUUAAUGGCGUUUUUGUAUGGUAUUUGGAUAAACUCCGAAAAUAAGGCAAGCCAGUUAAGAACACAUUCGUAUUUACAAUGGAAGGCCAAGCCCGGACGACACUGGGCCAAUUGUGGGACUCCCAAUCACGGCCGAUUGUGAAACAGCCUGGAUAAUAGACAAAUGGACCUGACCGGACAGCUCAGAACUUCUGCUCUUUUCUGUCCAUAAAAAAAACUAAUGGAUUGGUGGAAGAGCCAUGCAAGGAAGGAGGGAGUGGUGGAGCAAGGCUAUAUGCCCUGAGGUUUUCAUCAGAACUGGCGUAGAUUAGUCUCACCUUUUUAUUUUCCCGACAUAAAUUUGUUGUGUAAAAAUAAAUAUAUAUAUACAUAUA